UUUAGAGAGUUUGAUCCUGGCUCAGAGUGAACGCUGGCGGCGUGCCUAACACAUGCAAGUCGAACGAGAAACGAUUCGGGUAACCGAAUGCAGUCUAAGUGGCGCACGGGUGAGUAAUAGAUGGCUAAUGUCCCCUAUGGACGGGAAUAACAGUUGGAAACGACCGCUAAUACCCGAUACUCCGUCUCUUUGAAAUAGGAGAUGGGAAAUGUUUUUUCGCCACAGGAUCAGGUCAUCUCCUAUCAGCUUGUUGGUGAGGUAAAGGCUCACCAAGGCUAUGACGGGUAGCUGGUUUGAGAGAAUGAUCAGCCACACUGGAACUGAGACACGGUCCAGACUCCUACGGGAGGCAGCAGUGGGGAAUUUUGCGCAAUGGGGGAAACCCUGACGCAGCAACGCCGCGUGGAGGAUGACGCAUUUCGGUGUGUAAACUCCUUUUCUACAAGAAGAAAUUGACGGUAUUGUAGGAAUAAGCACCGGCUAACUCCGUGCCAGCAGCCGCGGUAAUACGGGGGGUGCAAGCGUUACUCGGAAUCACUGGGCGUAAAGGGAGCGUAGGCGUUCGGAUCAGUCCCCUGUGAAAUCCAUCGGCUUAACCGAUGAACUGCAGGAGAAACUACCCGAAUAGAGUAUGGAAGAGGUCAGUGGAAUGGGUGGUGUAGGGGUAAAAUCCGUAGAGAUCACCCGGAAUACCAACGGCGAAGGCAACUGACUGGGACAUUACUGACGCUGAGGCUCGAAAGCGUGGGGAGCAAACAGGAUUAGAUACCCUGGUAGUCCACGCCCUAAACGAUGAAUGCUAGUCGCGGGGGGGCUUCGACCUUUCCGGGACGCAGUUAACACAUUAAGCAUUCCGCCUGGGGAGUACGGUCGCAAGAUUAAAACUCAAAGGAAUAGACGGGGACCCGCACAAGCGGUGGAGCAUGUGGUUUAAUUCGAAGAUACGCGAAGAACCUUACCCGGGCUUGACAUGUAGCGAACCUUGCAGAAAUGUGAGGGUGCCUUUCGGGGAACGCUAACACAGGUGCUGCACGGCUGUCGUCAGCUCGUGUCGUGAGAUGUUGGGUUAAGUCCCGCAACGAGCGCAACCCCCGUGGUUAGUUGCCAGCAGUUCGGCUGGGCACUCUAAUCAGACCGCCCGCGCAAGCGGGAGGAAGGUGGGGAUGACGUCAAGUCAUCAUGGCCCUUACGCCCGGGGCGACACACGUGCUACAAUGGGGGGGACAACAAGAUGCAAUGUCGCGAGGCGGAGCAAAUCUGUAAACCCUCUCUCAGUUCGGAUUGGAGUCUGCAACUCGACUCCAUGAAGCUGGAAUCGCUAGUAAUCGCGGAUCAGCCAUGCCGCGGUGAAUACGUUCCCGGGUCUUGUACUCACCGCCCGUCACACCAUGGGAGUUGAUUUCACCCGAAGUCGGAAUACGAAAUUCGUUACCGCCCACGGUGGAAUCAGCGACUGGGGUGAAGUCGUAACAAGGUAACCGUAGGAGAACCUGCGGUUGGAUCACCUCCUUU
rnacentral:rRNA from 1 species